GAGUGGUGUUUGGUUUGUUACGUGUGGUUGGCUGCGGCGUUUGCAGCAACUUCCAUGCUUUCAGACCUCUUCAGUUGUGCGGCAAGGCUUGUAUCGCCUUGAGCGUAAUGUGGGUUUUCUGUGCUGGCUACCUAAUCAAUGGUAUCGGUUGGAUUGAUCAAAGUUUGAUUUCGUCUUCCGUCGCAUUCGUGGCGUGAGGCGAACCUCGACGCGGUCUCUUUGAUCCACCUCGUUGAAGCACGUGCUUCGACGUUGUGGCACAUUGAGCAUUGCUUGGUCUCUUGUAUACGGAACAUAUAGUGGGCAUGGAUCUAACGAUCCUUGUUUGCCCUCAUAUUAGCGUAACGCUUCUCUAGCACGACUUGCGCCAUGUUUUAGCUCGUAC
rnacentral:misc_RNA from 1 species